rnacentral:pre_miRNA from 1 species
UGGAGAAGGGGAACAAGAGGGACAAAGGACAAACACAAAUCUCCAAACACAGUUUGUCCUUUGUCCCUCUUGUUCCCCUUCUCCAGG